rnacentral:rRNA from 1 species
GAUGAACGCUAGCUACAGGCUUAACACAUGCAAGUCGAGGGACCGGCGCACGGGUGCGUAACACGUAUCCAACCUGCCCUUUACUCGGGGAUAGCCUUUCAAAAGAAAGAUUAAUACCCGAUGUAAAUGAUGGGGAUGCGUUCCAUUAGGUUGUUGGUGAGGUAACGGCUGACAAAGCCUUCGAUGGCUAGGGGUGCUGGGAGGAAGUGCCCCCACAUUGGAACAGGGACACGGUCCAAACUCCAACGCGAUGAAGCAGUUAGUAAUAUUGGGCAAUGGGCGUGAGCCCGAAACAGCCAAGUAAGGUGAAGGAUGAAGGGUUAUAGGGCGGAAACUUCUUUUAAAUAAGAAUAUGUAUUAUAUGAAUAAGGAACGGCUAACUCCGUGCCAGCAGCCGCGGUAAUUC